rnacentral:lncRNA from 1 species
GAGGAGAGAACCAUGAAGGAAGAUAGACAGAGGAAUAGACAGAGGGGUCCAGAGAUGUCUGAUGUCUGGGGAUUGAAGAAAAAAGCCAGGUUCCCUUACGAGCAGUGAAUGACCUUGGAGCUAUUGGAACAGAGAGAAAAGAGGACACCCUAAAGGCGCAGGGGGAUGUGUGAUGGAGCCUGAUGACAGACAGUGAGGGAUGGGUCCUUGACGAGAGAAAAAAAAGGCAGUGGAAGAAGAAAUGUUAGGGCUGGAGGGAGUCUUCUGGCCAAUGAAGGUUUAAAUCUGAGAUCGCCAGCACAGGGUGCACUUGCUGGUAUUACAGUGUAGGGUACUCUGAAACACAACAGGAUAAAACAGGCAUAAUUUUUAUUUCAUAGGUUUGCUCUGUGUAUCUGUCCUACAGUCACAAACACUUGGGACAAUGCCAGUGGCAAGGUUUUGCUGUGCGUGCCUUAGCUGAAGAUGUAGCUUAGCUAAGGGAGACAGAGCUGCAUUCCUGGCUCCCACAUCUCACAAAAAGGGUUUGACCCAGUCCCAGCUGCGUGGCACAGGGCUGAGCCCUGGUUAUUAUUGCACUGCCUGCCCGAGGAGAGCGACUUCGCCUGCUGUCAGGGAAAGCUGCCUGCCAGGAACCUCCCUCCCUGCCUGUACAGGGGUGCAGUUUGUAUGUCGGUGCUUGAGGGGAGGGUUAUGCACAGUGCAGAGAUCUUCCCUUACAGGUGGAUGAGUGGUAUACUCAUUGCUGCACUGGGAUUUUGUAAGGAGGCAACGAUACCAAGCAUUUCCUAAGUAUUCAGGAGCUCUGACUGCUGAAUCCCAUCACGGUACAGAACCAUGCUUCAUCUUUAAGACUCCCUUCUAAGAAAGAAAAAGUAGUUUGUAGCCCCAGUUUGGAUUACUGUACCAUGACCACCAUUUCUGUCAGCGCAGUUCACAAGCUACCCAGCACAUUUUUUCUCUCCCUCCUUCCUCAGGAGCAGAGCCCUGGACCUCAGCUCCAUGCUGGCCACCAUGGGUUUUCCCCUCAGAGCUUUUCACCUCCGAACCUUCAGCAGCUUUCAGCUGUGUGUCGUUAUCUUUGUGAGGGAGCUGCUGUUACUUGUGGUGCAGCUACAAGGAGCUGGAUAUUGAGCCUCAAAAUGCAGGAUGGUAGACAUCUCGUCCCUUGAUUGAGGCAGUGGAGGAGGUGUGCUAGGUCAGCAGUGGUUCUUCCUGAGGGCAUCCCCUGGAGCACAUCUCUAGGUGAGGAAACCAACACACAGAAACUUAAGAGUUAUAUUGUUUAGAAUCAGAGAGAACUGGCUUUGAAGUUAAAGGUUGCUUUUCUAUUUGAAAACCAUUCUUGAUUUAUCAUUUUAUUUACGAUCAAAUUCAC